CGGCAGGCCUAACACAUGCAAGUCGAGCGGCAGCGGGAAAAGUAGCUUGCUACUUUUGCCGGCGAGCGGCGGACGGGUGAGUAAUGCCUGGGAAAUUGCCCAGUCGAGGGGGAUAACAGUUGGAAACGACUGCUAAUACCGCAUACGCCCUACGGGGGAAAGCAGGGGACCUUCGGGCCUUGCGCGAUUGGAUAUGCCCAGGUGGGAUUAGCUUGUUGGUGAGGUAAUGGCUCACCAAGGCGACGAUCCCUAGCUGGUCUGAGAGGAUGAUCAGCCACACUGGAACUGAGACACGGUCCAGACUCCUACGGGAGGCAGCAGUGGGGAAUAUUGCACAAUGGGGGAAACCCUGAUGCAGCCAUGCCGCGUGUGUGAAGAAGGCCUUCGGGUUGUAAAGCACUUUCAGCGAGGAGGAAAGGUUGGUAGCUAAUAACUGCCAACUGUGACGUUACUCGCAGAAGAAG
rnacentral:rRNA from 1 species